rnacentral:rRNA from 1 species
UACGGGGGGGGCAAGCGUUGUUCGGAAUUACUGGGCGUAAAGGGCUUGUAGGUGGCCAACUAAGUCAGACGUGAAAUCCCUCGGCUUAACCGGGGAACUGCGUCUGAUACUGGAUGGCUAGAGUGUGGGAGAGGGAUGCGGAAUUCCAGGUGUAGCGGUGAAAUGCGUAGAUAUCAGGAGGAACACCAAUUGCGAAGGCAGCUCGCUGGGACGUUACUGACGCUGAGACGCGAAAGCGUGGGGAGCAAACAGG